rnacentral:misc_RNA from 1 species
GGGCAUUUUUUACAAAAUGGUUAAACGUUUGAACUUUCCAUCACUUAGCCCCUAGUUACAAAUAGCAAGACAUAAUUAUUGUCUGUAGUGGUAUGCUAACACUAUUUAGCACCCCAAGAUCAUAAUCGGCAUCAAUUGGGAGCCAGCAAUUAAAGUGAUCCUAUUGAAACUUAACCAAAUUCAGUUUAAAGCUAAUCACUCAAUUUCAACUCAGAAAGGCAUCCACUACUCGAAAAACUAUUAUAUAACCCCCCAAAAAAGACAAUUUCUGACUUUCCUGCUAUGCAAGAUUAGCAAACCAGCAACCAACCACUUCAUUUUAGUUGGAGAAUCGAGCAAAAAUUGCAACAUAUAAUAUCAUUCAUCGACACAAACCCAGAUAGGGCGUUCAUGAUUAUCAAAGAAACAGACAUCACUUUCAAAUAUACAUAUACGCGCGCGCGCGCGCGAAGAUAGCACAUAGAAUUGGAAAUUA